GUAAAAAAAAUCUGUAAAAUAACAGUUAAAUGACUGUAUAUUUUAACAGAUUUUUUCCGUAUACACGUAUUACGGGUGUUUUUCCGUUUAUAUACAUUUUCGAAUUGCAUUGUGGGAAGGGGAUCGCAGCUCAGACAGCGUUUGAUGGACACCGGGACAUAUUUCUUCCUCUGUUUUUUCCCUGGUAAGUACGAUUAAUAAAACAUAUAACAAUAUUUUAGUUAAAAGACUGCUUUAUUACCUUUUUAUCGUUAUUUAAAAUGAUUUUUGUCUUUUAUGAAGCGCCCAUGGAAAGUACAGCAUUGUUUGUCCGUAUUUUUCUAAACUGCCGUGCGCGGGAAGUGGCGUGACGUCCCAAUCACCCACUCACUCCCUCUGCACCUGACUGGAUUAACGGUAAACGUCAGUUUGUCUGUAAGAGUGUAAAAGGUAUGUUAAUUAUUUUAUAGAAAUAUAAAUGUUUUCUUUGUACAGUGCAUUGAACAAGGGAUAGCAUUCAAAGUUUGUGUCACUGUGUAGUUUGGUUGAUAUACACUGCGGUCAAGCCAGCCGCGGUUCGGAAAAACACAGUCAAGCCAGCCGCGCUUUAUAUUUCGGUGCGCGCGUAUUAUUGUCAUUACGGUAAUGUCAGCAGCCACACAGAGAGCGCUCCACAGAGCACCCAUUUCGCCCAGAACAGAGAGAUGACAACGAAAUAUAAGUUUAUCCCCCUUUCCUCCCACGUAUGCUUUAUUAAACAAUUUAUUAGCUUU